AUAAUAGAAGAGGGUGUAAAAGAGGUUUACCAGGAUACUGUCUCGAUUACAGGGUGGACAAACUUGUUUUUUUUUUUCUCCAGAGUGGCGCAGGCUGGGGUGAGACUUUUAUAAAAUUAGGAGAGGAAUAGAUUAUGUUUAUUCCUGGGGGUUGAAAUGUCUGAUCCAGUUAAGUUGAGAGGAGAUGUGAGGGACAAGUUUGUUUCUUUCCACAGAGUGGUGGGUAGCUGGAGUGCUCUGUCAGGAGUGACGGUAGUACCUACUGGUCACGUAGCCCCAUUUUCCCCUCCCAUUCAACCGCAGAUGUAACAAUCUCUUCACGUAUGCUGUAAGUCUCCGGAUGUUUUUUUUUUCCCUUUUUGCUCAGUAUUGAAGUGGAUUGUCUUCGAGAUUAGGAAAGUGUCCACGCCUCGAGGGCCGGGGAGCCAGGGGUCGGGGUCAGGAUCACUAUACAUCACUGAUCUACAUCCUGGUACCAAUUUGCCUCUUAUUCCUGGAAAAGUAUUCAGUGCAGUUGUUGCUAACAAGGUUUACAAGAGUAAUAUCAGGAAUGAUCGGUUUUAAGUAUAAAGAGCAUUUGAUUCUGAUGGUUCUGGACCUGUACUCAAUGGAGUUCAGAGGGACGGUGGGGGUGGUGGAGGGAUGUACGGUUAAGUAAACCUACCGAAUGCUGAAAAGCCUGGAUACAGUGGACAUGGAGAGGAUGUUUCCAUCUUUGUCUUGUUCUUAAUAACAUUAAGCAGAAAUGUUUGGUUCCUUUACCGUUAAUGUGCUUCAUUAACUUUUAUGUUAAAUUUAGACCUGCGGUGAGAGAUCUAUUGCAAGAAAAACCCCAACUGGAAGCGAACCACGACUGAAGACGAGGGAAUAUCAACAAGUGAACCAGCCCGAGGAUUGAGAGCAUCAACUAGAGAGGACCCAACUGAUUUGGAAAUUCCAGUGAUUCCGUCAGGAGAAAGUUUGGAUCGAACUGAUGGAAACAUUUGGCGAGCAAUAACAAAAAAAGCAAUCCUGCAAUACGUAUGCUGGACAUGAGAAAAAUAAACAAAUAUCCCUUGUCUGCUUGAUGAAAAAAACGCCAAGCAUCAACAGAGUCGGGGAGAGUGUGCAAUGAGCUGCCAGAGCAAGUGGCAGGAAUGAUUUCAACCUUUAAAAGAAGUUUGCUUAUGUUUGUGGAUGAAAAGGACAUGGAGGAAAAUGGUCCAGGUGGAACUUGUUGGACCUCGGCUUUAGCACGGACUACAUCUUCCAGUGCUGUAGUAUUCUAUGACUCUAAUGCCUUCGCAAUCUCUUCAGCUACCUCUUUCUGCACCCUAGUGUGUUCACCUUCAGGCCUUUCAGAUUCCAAAACACGUUUUCUCCUUUGUAAAAGCAGUGGGUGGCUUCAAUCUGUAGGAAAAUUGGGAAAGUCAGAUUGGUAUGAGAUCUCAAGAGGGAAUGUAUUGAAUGCUUAUGAAAUUGAUUUUUAGAACAGCUUAUGGUUGAGCCUACUCGGGAAUCCGCUAUCUUAGUUUGGGUGUUGUGUAAUAACUCAGAUCUUAUUAGGUAGGUUAAUAUAAAGGAACCAUCAGAAGGCAGUGAUCAUAAUGAUUGAAUUCCUACUGCAAUUUGUGAGGGAAAAGCAUAGUUCACAUGCAUAGUAUCACAAUGGAAUAAAGGGAAUUACAGAGGUAUGAGAGAGGUGAUUCCCCAGGUGGAUUUGAGAAGGAUACUGGUGGGGAUGACAUCAAAGCAGAAGCGGCUGACAUUUCUGGGAAUAGUUCAUAAUGUACAGAAUAGGUCAUAAUGUCCCGCAGUAGUAGUUCACAAACGGCGGGUCUAGACUACCGGGGCUGACAAAGGAAGUUAUGGACUUAAGGUAGCAAAAGUGAGUAGGAAGUUUUAUAAUUGGGUAGCUUUGAAAAUCCAACAACAGGCAACUGAAAAAGGCUAUAUGAAGGGGAAAGGUGAAAUAUCAGAGCAAAUUAGACAAUAAUAUACACCAUUAUAAAAAUGCAAAAGGGAGGUUAUAGUUUAUUUCGGACCUCUGGAAAAUGAUGCUCAUGGGGUAGAAAUGGGGAAGAGAUGGUAGAUGAACUUGAUAAGAACUUCGCCUCAGUCUUCUCUGUGGACACAGCAGUGUGCCAGAGAUCUGUGAGUGUCAGGGAGCAGGAGUAAAUGCCAUUGCUAUUACAAAGGAAAACGUGCGAGGCAAACUCAGGUUCUGAGAGUGGACAAGACACCUGGACCAGAUGGACUACAUCCCAGAGUCCUGUGUAACGUUUUAGAAACAAACCAGCAGCAAUACAGUUCACACCAGAGUCUGGAUUUGAUGUUAAAACCAUUAUCUUUAUUAGUAGUUACUUAUAAUAUUGUAAGUUAAACAAAUUAAACAAAAGUUAACGGUAUCAUGUGUAUAAAUAUGUGUAAAUGUAACUCCUAAACUAUCGAGCCUGGGGGAUCAAGGUUUAGAGUCUUGAGAUGAUAACGUAGGAAAGUUCGGUAAUCGGAGGAAGAAAUGAUCAAAGAAUAUUUGUAGUCCAGGGUAAUUGUAGAGAGAAAGCAAUUAUAUCCAAUUCCACAGGUAAACGCAAACCGUCGUCGCAGAUCUCGUACGUUGAAUCGAUCCAAAAUCCACUUCGAAAUAUCACCAGUGACCUGUCAGACGAAUGUCGUCUUCAAGUGACUACCACAUAACUUAUCCAGGCAAGGGUUAACUUCAAGUGGCACCACAUUACAAUCCACUCCUUUGGAUUAUACGAAGUGACAAGACACACAUUCUGGAGCAAACCUUGCCCUGGCAGUUCUUAAAUAAAAGUCUAACCCAGACUACGAGAGUAGCUGUUCUGUCUCCCUCGUUCUGACUCUGUGUGUGUGUCAUAUAUAUCUAUCUAUAUAUUUCGCGCUCUCCACAUCUCUAUCUCGCACUCUCUUUCUCUCUCUCUAUCUCUAAACUGAGAAUGCAGCCUGCUGACGUCACUGUUAGUCCCGCCUCACUCAGGAACUUUCUUAAAGUGACAGUCCACAGCAAACGAAACCUAGGGAUUCGUAACAACUGAGAGAGGUUGCUGAAGAGAUAACAGAUGCAAUGGUCAUGACCUGUCAAAAAUCACUUGAUGUGGGGUGCCUUGCAGAAAUACGCAUCUAUGUGGUUAACAAGAGGAAAGAAAAAGUCGAUAGUACAUGAAAUACAAACAAUAAGGCAGUAAUUAAUUUUUACACUCGGUGAAUGUGACUGUAGCAAAACCCAAUUUCCCUCGGGAUCAAUAAAGUGUGUCUGUCUGUCUGUCUCUGCAGAAAAUGCCAAGAGAAAUCAGACACAAUCCAACACAUUUCAGGACCCCAAAGCACUUUAACUCAAUCUGAUUACUUACAAAGGUACAAUCAGUGGCAAAUAUGAUUCACCAAAAUUUUGCAUUAAAAUACGAACGCAUGAAUGCCCUCCAUCAGUUCAUCGAGGCACCGUAAGUUCAAGCCUGAUCCACUUUUAGAGUCAAAAUCUUACAAAUUACAUGAUAAUCAAUACAUUAUAUCAGGUAGGACAAUCUAUAAUAACCAUCUGGAUAUAAUAUUACAGGAUAAACAAGCAGGACCAACUCCCUCAAUAGACAAAAGCAUUCCUCCACCAGUGCAGCACCUCACAACAGGGAUUGUUUGCGUCAUCAGUCAGAUAAAUGAAUUAUUUUCUCUGCCAAUUAUCAUCCAAAUGUUGCUGCUCUGUCAUUCGUUGCCACACCCUGCUGCUGAUUCCCUUCUCCUCAUCAUACAUUCUUACCCCAACCAUCGUUCAAAGCCUCAAACACUGCCCUGUGUGGACCCGCCUCUGGUUUCUGACCCUGCUCCGUUGAACCCAUUCUGCCUUCAGUGUUUAGAGGACAGUGGUGUUUUCUGACAACCCUUCAGAAGCAGGAAAAAUGACCCAUAAUGUGGAAAUGAGCCCUGAAUAGGGAGGUUAACAACCAAAGUCAUUCUUCCUUAGCCCAGAGAUUUGAGGGGCGAAGAACAGCUCAGACAGAACUGCAGUCAGCUCGACUUCCUCAAUCUGUAGAAAAUUCAAGGGAAGCCUCUUUACCCAUAGAGUGGUGACUGGAAUUCCUCCCACAGGGAGAGUGAGAGAUGAACAACAGGGGAGGAUUUAAAAGGACUGUUGCAAACAGUACCACUGGCAGACUCCAGCCAGCAUGAGUUAAUUCUCUACUGUACACUAGGUGUGUUAUAAAUUCACUAAGUUUAAAAUAGAACUGAUUUACUUGUCACAGAUCCAGUCCCAUUAAAUGUGAAUAUGCAGCAGAAGGAACUCCUCCCAUACCAGUGACCAGGGUGCAGAACUGGGUGUGGUGAAUAGCAGCAAUAAUUGUAGAGUUCAGCACCGACAGUCUCUGUCGAAAUUGCAUUCAGCAACAGUGACGGACAAAUAUCCAGCAUGCAGCUUAUUGAAACUUUCUCCCCAGUGUGAACCCGCCAGUGUCUCCCAAGUGUAACAUGCUGCAAUGUUUCACAGCUAAUGUAAUGGCCUCUCUGUAAUGUUUCACUGCUGAGGUAAUGGUUUCUCUGUGGCAGAGAUAACAAGGUUUUGGAGUGCGGUGCUAUCCAAUGAAAGAAAUGUUCUUUCUUUGUGUCUGGAAGAGAGAUUUUCACGGUCGCUUGCCGGGACAGAUGAGAAGACAAAUGGAGAAAAUGGGCCCGUAUUUUUUUCUUUACUAACCCUAUAGUGAAAGUAAGAAUUAUAGAGCUUAGU